rnacentral:miRNA from 1 species
AGAGUUGACUCUUCCUUGCAGU